UUGGAGGGAAAGUCUGGUGCCAGCAGCCGCGGUAAUUCCAGCUCCAAUAGCGUAUAUUAAAGUUGCUGCAGUUAAAAAGCUCGUAGUUGAAUUUCGGGACUAAUAUGUCGGUCGUGCCUCGGUACGUACUGGUAUUUUUGGUUUCUCCCUUCUGACGAACCUUGAUGUCAUUAAUUUGGUGUCUUGGGAAAUCAGGACUGUUACUUUGAAAAAAUUAGAGUGUUUAAAGCAGGCUCACGCUUGAAUACAUUAGCAUGGAAUAAUGAAAUAGGACGUUUGAUUCUAUUUUGUUGGUUUCUAGGAUUGACGUAAUGAUUAAUAGGGAUAGUUGGGGGCAUUAGUAUUCAAUUGUCAGAGGUGAAAUUCCUGGAUUUAUUGAAGACUAACUACUGCGAAGGCAUUUGCCAAGGAUGUUUUCAUUAAUCAAGAACGAAAGUUAGGGGAUCGAAGACGAUCAGAUACCGUCGUAGUCUUAACCAUAAACUAUGCCGACUAGGGAUCGGAUGAUGUAAUUUUUUUAAUGACUCA
rnacentral:rRNA from 1 species